rnacentral:lncRNA from 1 species
GAAGAAGGGGCUAGCUUAUUGUUCAUGCAUGAUGAACCCAGGAUAAGGGCUCCACAAUCACCAGUGUUGUCUCCUUCAAUUGUAAACCUCUGCGGAGCUUAUAGCAGUAUUGAGCAUUUUUCACUUUGAUUUUGUUUAGCUUUGCAGAGCUUUUAUCCAGUAGCUAUCACAUUAACUCCUUAUGCCCUUUUCUCAUCAAGUCUUCAUUGCGCAAGCACUUGAAAAGGUGCAAUAAAAAGAAGAAGGCUCUUAGAGUUGCUGGUCAGUUAAAUGCCUCUAUCAUGACCCCUGAUAGAGUUGCAUUAGAGCCUUGGACAUUUAAUCAGGCAGUGUCAUGCAAAGAGCUCAUGAGUAUGAUUGUGUUGCACGAGUUACCUUUCUCACUUGUGGAAUAUGAUGGCUUCAGAAGGUUUGUCUCCAGUCUAAACCCAAGAUUUAAGAUGAUUUGCAGAAACUAUCAGAUUUUCAAAGUCGAAUGACCCUAGAAACCCGUUGAAGCUCUAGUGUGUCUGCAAGACUGGAUGAGGGAAAAUGGCAAAAUUAUGAGACAUAUGUUAAUUGCAUUUCUCACUAAUGCUUCAAUUUCACAAAGUCAUAAAAUUUGCUCUUGUUUUGUGCAGCUCAUAGUCAGCGCCGCAUGGACUCGGUUCAUGACAUUAUCUCAAUUUUGGAAGGUACUUUUUUCCUACUACUUUUUCAUCUCAUUUCUGUUAAGAAUAUAUGUCUAACCUCAAGUAGACAUGUUGCAGUAUGGAAAUUCUUGUAGCAUAUGUUAUUCCUGUUAACACAUGGUGACCAAUGAUUGCGAUCUAACCUCAAGUAGCAUAUAGCAGUAAUCAGCCGACUGCAGAACAUGAUGGCUGCCCUGCCAAUGGCUGCCUUGCCAAUAAAAUGAAAAGCUGCAAAAUUGUUCUGUUGAAUGCCAUGGACCAUAUCACAUCUACUGGAUGGUAGUGGAGUAUUUUGUUGACAUCAAAAUACCAGCUAGGAGUAGAACUUGGAGAUAUACUACUUCUUUUUGAGGGGAAGAGAUAUACUACUAAUUGAUAGAGAUAUUCUACUUAAUUAUGAUCGGACUAUUUUUCUUCUUUUGUGGUGUAUAGCUACUGUCCCUUGUUCUGUUUUUUAUUGUUGCAUCUGAAUAUAUACAUAUGCACUGAAAUUCACCAAUUCAAUUUCCCUGAACACAGGUGAUGAGGCCACGGAGGGAUAAUAAGGUUCGUGAUGGUUGUGAGAACUGUUUGAUCCAGUAACGUCCAAUAUGUGAUGAAGCAAAAUAUGGUGAAAACUGAGAGUUAAAUGUUAUCUAUGAGUAAUCACUAGCAAAAAGAUGAGUUAUGUGUAAUGGCAGAGAUGAAUCAACAACUGAUGGCAAAAACUAUCCAAUCGUUGAUGUUGAAUUGUGAUGAUAGAGAUAAACUUCUGAUUAUUAAUUGCUAAUGGACAUGGAAGUUAAACUCUUAUAUUCAUUACGUGUACUCAUGCUUGCCUGAGUGCUUA